UACGGAAGGCAGCAGUGGGGAAUAUUGCACAAUGGGCGCAAGCCUGAUGCAGCCAUGCCGCGUGUAUGAAGAAGGCCUUCGGGUUGUAAAGUACUUUCAGCGGGGAGGAAGGCGAUGCGGUUAAUAACCGCGUCGAUUGACGUUACCCGCAGAAGAAGCACCGGCUAACUCCGUGCCAGCAGCCGCGGUAAUACGGAGGGUGCAAGCGUUAAUCGGAAUUACUGGGCGUAAAGCGCACGCAGGCGGUCUGUUAAGUCAGAUGUGAAAUCCCCGGGCUUAACCUGGGAACUGCAUUUUGAAACUGGCAGGCUUGAGUCUUGUAGAGGGGGUAGAAUUCCAGGUGUAGCGGUGAAAUGCGUAGAGAUCUGGAGGAAUACCGGUGGCGAAGGCGGCCCCUGGGACAAGACUGACGCUCAGGUGCGAAAGCGUGGGGAGCAAACGAGGAUUAGAUACC
rnacentral:rRNA from 1 species